CCAACUGCCCAGAGCACAG
rnacentral:misc_RNA from 1 species